rnacentral:rRNA from 1 species
CAGUCGCCGCGGUAAUACAGAGGGUGCAAGCGUUAAUCGGAAUUACUGGGCGUAAAGCGCGCGUAGGUGGUUCGCCAAGUUGGAUGUGAAAUCCCCGAGCUUAACUUGGGAAUUGCAUUCGAUACUGGUUAGCUAGAGUGUGGGAGAGGAUGGUAGAAUUCCAGGUGUAGCGGUGAAAUGCGUAGAGAUCUGGAGGAAUACCGAUGGCGAAGGCAGCCAUCUGGCCUAACACUGACGCUGAGGUACGAAAGCAUGGGGAGCAAACAGGAUUAGAUACCCCGGUAGUCCCUGUCUCUUAUAC